GCUGACGUAGCUCAAGUGGGUAGAGCUGGGCUUUUGUAAAGCUCAGGUUGCAGGUUCGAGGCCUGUCGUCAGCUCCA
rnacentral:tRNA from 1 species